GUUGUCCAAUAUUAUAUAUAAAAGAGAGUUUAUUAGUUGAAGAGAGGUGUUAUUUUAUGGAGCUUUGAACUCAACUCUUGUUCUGAGUUGUUGAGUUAUUGUGAAUAUAGGUUGUUGUAUCCUAGAGGGGACAAGUCAAAGAGUAUUACUGUUGGACCGCGGUGAAACAAUUGCUACAGUGAACUUGAAUCUCCUUAAAGAGAGCGAGACAUCCACGCCUUAGCCGUUGAAGAAGAAAAUAUUAUUUUUUCUUUAUUCAUUUGUAAUUUUUCAAUUGUAACAUUUAUUGCAAUAUUAUUGUAAUUUCACCAACACAUAUGUUAUUGUUUUUGGUUAUUGAAGGAUUAUUAGUAAUUUUGUUGAUUUAGCAGAUUAUGCAAGAGAUGAAGAGUUGGGACACUGAUAUGGAUACGUGAGAGGACACAACUG
rnacentral:lncRNA from 1 species